GAUGAACGCUGGCGGUGUGCCUAAUACAUGCAAGUCGAACGAGCUCUUCGGAGCUAGUGGCGGACGGGUGAGUAACACGUUGGUACCUGCCCUCAAGUGGGGAAUAACUGCCCGAAAGGGUGGCUAAUACCGCAUGUGAUCGAAAGAUUAAAGUCGCAAGACGCUUGAGGAGGGGCCUGCGUUCCAUUAGCUAGUUGGUAGGGUAAUGGCCUACAAAGGCGACGAUGGAUAGCUGGAUCGAGAGGUUGACCAGCCACACUGGGACUGAGAUACGGCCCAGACUCCUACGGGAGGCAGCAGUAAGGAAUCUUCCACAACGGACGAAAGUCUGAUGGAGCAACACCGCGUGCAGGAUGACGGCCUUCGGGUUGUAAACUGCUUUUAUAUGGGAAGAUUAUGACGGUACCAUAUGAAUAAGCACCGGCUAACUACGUGCCAGCCGCCGCAGUAA
rnacentral:rRNA from 1 species